rnacentral:snoRNA from 1 species
GGUCCAUGUUAUAGGCAUUGUGUAGUAUACUCUUGUAUUGUUCCCAUGCUUCUGAGUAGCAUUAUGAGUCUAGUUGUUGGAAGGUGGUAAUCUCAUCCCUUAGCUU